GGUUAGCUCAAUCGGUAGAGCGUGAGACUCUUAAUCUCAAGGUUGCGGGUUCGGUUAGUUCUUCCCCACAUAUCCG
rnacentral:tRNA from 1 species